GUAAAUUGCCCCUAAUGUGUAGAGUGUGGAUGGAAAAGUAGGAUAAUAUGGAACUGGUGUGAAAUGGUGAUGGAUGGUUGGCGUGGACUCGGUGGGCCAAAGAGCACGUUUUCA